GACGAACGCUGGCGGCGUGCUUAACACAUGCAAGUCGAACGGAAAGGCCCUGCUUUUGUGGGGUGCUCGAGUGGCGAACGGGUGAGUAACACGUGAGUAACCUGCCCUUGACUUUGGGAUAACUUCAGGAAACUGGGGCUAAUACCGGAUAGGAGCUCCUGCUGCAUGGUGGGGGUUGGAAAGUUUCGGCGGUUGGGGAUGGACUCGCGGCUUAUCAGCUUGUUGGUGGGGUAGUGGCUUACCAAGGCUUUGACGGGUAGCCGGCCUGAGAGGGUGACCGGCCACAUUGGGACUGAGAUACGGCCCAGACUCCUACGGGAGGCAGCAGUGGGGAAUAUUGCACAAUGGGCGGAAGCCUGAUGCAGCAACGCCGCGAGCGGGAUGACGGCCUUCGGGUUGUAAACCGCUUUCGCCUGUGACGAAGCGUGAGUGACGGUAAUGGGUAAAGAAGCACCGGCUAACUACGUGCCAGCAGCCGCAGUAA
rnacentral:rRNA from 1 species